GAGUUUGAUCGUGGCUCAGAACGAACGCUGGCGGCGUGCCUAACACAUGCAAGUCGCGCGAGAAAAGGGAGCAAUCCCCUAGUAGAGCGGCGCACGGGUGAGUAACACGUAGAUAAUCUACCCCUGGGUCUGGAAUAACCUACCGAAAGGUGGGCUAAUACCGGAUAUGACCACGAAGGCUACGGCCUUUGAGGUGAAAGGUGGCCUCUUCUUGAAAGCUACCGCCUGAGGAUGAGUCUGCGCGCCAUUAGCUAGUUGGCGGGGUAAAAGCCCACCAAGGCGAUGAUGGCUAGCUGGUCUGAGAGGAUGACCAGCCACACUGGGACUGACACACGGCCCAGACUCCUACGGGAGGCAGCAGUGGGGAAUAUUGCGCAAUGGGCGAAAGCCUGACGCAGCGACGCCGCGUGGGGGAUGAAGGUCUUCGGAUCGUAAACCCCUGUCGAACGGGACGAAAGACUCUGGAGCUAAUCAUCCGGAGAGUGACGGUACCGUUAAAGGAAGCCACGGCUAACUCUGUGCC
rnacentral:rRNA from 1 species